AUUGAACGCUAGCGGGAUGCUUUACACAUGCAAGUCGAACGGCAGCGCGGACUUCGGUCUGGCGGCGAGUGGCGAACGGGUGAGUAAUGUAUCGGAACGUGCCCAGUAGCGGGGGAUAACUACGCGAAAGCGUAGCUAAUACCGCAUACGCCCUGCGGGGGAAAGCAGGGGAUCGUAAGACCUUGCACUAUUGGAGCGGCCGAUAUCGGAUUAGCUAGUUGGUGAGGUAACGGCUCACCAAGGCGACGAUCCGUAGCUGGUUUGAGAGGACGACCAGCCACACUGGGACUGAGACACGGCCCAGACUCCUACGGGAGGCAGCAGUGGGGAAUUUUGGACAAUGGGGGCAACCCUGAUCCAGCCAUCCCGCGUGUGCGAUGAAGGCCUUCGGGUUGUAAAGCACUUUUGGCAGGAAAGAAACGUCGCGGGCUAAUACCCCGUGGAACUGACGGUACCUGCAGAAUAAGCACCGGCUAACUACGUG
rnacentral:rRNA from 1 species